rnacentral:rRNA from 1 species
UACGAAGGGGGCUAGCGUUGCUCGGAAUCACUGGGCGUAAAGCGCACGUAGGCGGAUUGUUAAGUCGGGGGUGAAAUCCUGGAGCUCAACUCCAGAACUGCCUUCGAUACUGGCGAUCUUGAGUCCGGGAGAGGUGAGUGGAACUCCGAGUGUAGAGGUGAAAUUCGUAGAUAUUCGGAAGAACACCAGUGGCGAAGGCGGCUCACUGGCCCGGUACUGACGCUGAGGUGCGAAAGCUAGGGGAGCAAACGGG